AAGCGUACACGGUGGAUGCCCUGGCAGUCAGAGGCGAUGAAGGACGUGCUAAUCUGCGAUAAGCGUCGGUAAGGUGAUAUGAACCGUUAUAACCGGCGAUUUCCGAAUGGGGAAACCCAGUGUGAUUCGUCACACUAUCAUUAACUGAAUCCAUAGGUUAAUGAGGCGAACCGGGGGAACUGAAACAUCUAAGUACCCCGAGGAAAAGAAAUCAACCGAGAUUCCCCCAGUAGCGGCGAGCGAACGGGGAGGAGCCC
rnacentral:rRNA from 1 species